rnacentral:lncRNA from 1 species
CAAGGACGAUCCUCUGGAUGACCUCGGGUAGAAUGCACCCUUCGACCAGCCUCUUUAUUAAAUCCCUGUUGUUGAAGGAAUUUUCCCCAGGUCUUCCUCGGAGCCGUCGGCCCCUUCGAUGGCAGCCUUGCGACUGCGGCUCUUCCAAACCAGGGUCUUCUUUCUCCUCCUCCCUUCGGCCCUAGGUGCCCCCUUGGGACGGGCCUCUGGAGCGGGAUCCUCAGUCGGGGAGCUCCUUGAAAGGGCUCGGGGGACUUCGGGUUCGACGUCGGAAGGGACGUCGACGGUCACCUGGGCAGGUGCGGCUGAGCUUGUCCCUUCUGUCCUGGCUUUCUUCAUCGACCCCGAAGUUGAGGCGUCUUUUCUCUUGUGGGUUUUGAGACCCUGGGCU